CACUAGGAAGCUAAAUAGGGCUUGUAGCGUUGGCCUUUUAAGCCAAAAACUGGUGACCGCCGACCACCUCUAGUGA
rnacentral:tRNA from 1 species